GGAUGUGAGGGCAAUCUGGCUGAGACAUCUGUCAUCCCAUCGAUUGUCAGGGUUGAUUCAGCUGAUCUGGCUGGCUAGGCAAGGGGCCCCUUCCUCCCUCAGCACUCCAUGUGCAUCCCUCCUGAAGCUGUGCACUCAAAAAGGACGACCACCCCCCAGUAGAGGAGGACCGUUCCUCAGUCAAGAAUAUAUGAGUAGCUGCGCUGCUCUGCUAGAACCUCCAGACAAGUCUGUAAAUGGAUGACAAGAAAUAGGUUCUGCAGAGCAAGUUUGGGCCAAGUAGAAAUAGGAAAAGAAGCGCAUCCUACAACGUGGGGGUGGCCAGUAU
rnacentral:snRNA from 1 species